UACGUAGGGUCCAAGCGUUAUCCGGAAUCACUGGGCGUAAAGCGUGCGUAGGUGGCGUGUUAAGUGAGAUGUGAAAUCGUGUGGCUCAACCAUACGUUGUGUCUCAUACUGGCAUGCUAGAGGACAGCAGAGGCAAGUGGAAUUACGAGUGUAGCGGUAAAAUGCGUAGAUAUUCGUAGGAACACCAAAUGGCGAAGGCAGCUUGCUGGGCUACUCCUGACACUGAGGUACGAAAGCGUGGGGAGCGAACAGG
rnacentral:rRNA from 1 species